GAUGAACGCUGGCGGCGUGCCUAAUACAUGCAAGUCGAGCGAACAGAUGGGGAGCUUGCUCCUCUGACGUUAGCGGCGGACGGGUGAGUAACACGUGGAUAACCUACCUAUAAGACUGGGAUAACUUCGGGAAACCGGAGCUAAUACCGGAUAAUAUAUUGAACCGCAUGGUUCAAUAGUGAAAGACGGUUUUGCUGUCACUUAUAGAUGGAUCCGCGCCGCAUUAGCUAGUUGGUAAGGUAACGGCUUACCAAGGCAACGAUGCGUAGCCGACCUGAGAGGGUGAUCGGCCACACUGGAACUGAGACACGGUCCAGACUCCUACGGGAGGCAGCAGUAGGGAAUCUUCCGCAAUGGGCGAAAGCCUGACGGAGCAACGCCGCGUGAGUGAUGAAGGUCUUCGGAUCGUAAAACUCUGUUAUUAGGGAAGAACAAAUGUGUAAGUAACUAUGCACGUCUUGACGGUACCUAAUCAGAAAGCCACGGGUAACUACGUG
rnacentral:rRNA from 1 species